UACGAGGGGGGCUAGCGUUGCUCGGAAUGACUGGGCGUAAAGGGCGCGUAGGCGGACGGCUUUGUCGGGCGUGAAAUUCCAGGGCUUAACCUUGGGGCUGCGUUCGAGACGGGUUGUCUAGAGUUUGGAAGAGGGUCGUGGAAUUCCCAGUGUAGAGGUGAAAUUCGUAGAUAUUGGGAAGAACACCGGUGGCGAAGGCGGCGACCUGGUCCUUGACUGACGCUGAGGCGCGAAAGCGUGGGGAGCAAACAGG
rnacentral:rRNA from 1 species